rnacentral:rRNA from 1 species
AGUUUGAUCCUGUGCUCAAGCACGAACGCUGGCGGCGCGCCUAACACAUGCAAGUCUAACGAACGAAAGAGAGCUUGCUUUCUCCAACGAGUGGCGAACGGGUGAGUAACGCGUGAGGAACCUGACUCAAAGAGGGGGACAACAGUUGGAAACGACUGCUAAUACCGCAUAGGCCCACCGGUCGGCAUCGAACAGAGGGAAAAGGAACAAUCCGACUUGAGAUGGCCUCGCGUCCGAUUAACUGGUUGGUGAGGUAAUGGCCCACCAAGGCGACGAUCGGUAGCCGGACUGACAGGUUGAACGGCCACAUCGCGACUGAGACACGGCCCAGACUCCUACGGGAGGCAGCAGUGGGGAAUAUUGCACAAUGGGGGAAACCCUGAUGCAACGACGCCGCGUGGAGGAAGAAGGUCUUCGGAUUGUAUACUCCUGUGGUUGAGGAAUAUAAUGACGGUACUCAUCAAGGAAGUGACGGCUAACUACGUGCCAGUACCCGCGGUAAAACGUAAGUCACAAGCGUGGUCCGGAAUUACUGAGUGUAAAUGGAGCUCACGCGGGAAGACAAGUUGGAAGUGAAAUCUAUGGGCUCAACCCAUAAACUGCUUUCAAAACUGUUUAUCUUGAGUAUUGCAAAUGUAGGCGGAAUUCCCGGUGUACCGGCGGAAUGCGUGGAUAUCGGGAGGAACACCAGUGGCGAAGGCGGUCUACUGGGCACCAACUGACGCUGAGGAUCGAAAGUGUGGGUAGCACACAGGAUUAGAUACGCUGGUAGUCCACACCGUAGACGAUGAUUACUAGGUGUUGGAGGAUUGACCCCUUCAGUGCCGCAGUUAACACAAUAAGUAAUCCACGUGGGGAGUACGACCGCAUGGUUGAAACUCAAAGGAAUUGACGGGGGCCCGCACAAGCAGUGGAGUAUGUGGUUUAAUUCGACGCAACGCGAAGAACAUUACCAAGUCUUGACAUCCCUUUACGAUGAUGGAAACAGUAUUUCUCUUCGGAGCAAGGAGACAGGUGGUGCAUGGUUGUCGUCAGCUCGUGUGGUGAGAUGUUGGGUUAAGUCCCGCAACGAGCGCAACCUCUUACUGUCAGUUACUACGCAAGAGGACUCUGGCAGGACUGCCGUUGACAAAACGGAGGAAGGUGGGGAUGACGUCAAAUCAUCAUGCCCUUUAUGACUUGGGCUACACACGUAAUACAAUGGCGUUAAACAAAGAGAAGCAAGACCGCGAGUUGGAGCAUAAAUCAGAGACUAUGUCCCAGCUCGGAAUGCAGGCUGCAAUUCGCUUGCAGGAAGUCGGAAUAGUUAGUAAUGGUGGAUCAGCAUGCCACAGGUGAAUACGUUCCCGGGCUGAGUACACACGGCCCGU